CAGUCGCCACGGUAAUACGAAGGGGGCUAGCGUUGCUCGGAAUGACUGGGCGUAAAGGGCGCGUAGGCGGUUUUCCAAGUUAGAUGUGAAAUUCCUGGGCUCAACCUGGGGGCUGCAUUUGAUACUGGGAGGCUUGAGUAUGGAAGAGGGUCGUGGAAUUCCCAGUGUAGAGGUGAAAUUCGUAGAUAUUGGGAAGAACACCGGUGGCGAAGGCGGCGACCUGGUCCAUAACUGACGCUGAGGCGCGAAAGCGUGGGGAGCAAACAGGAUUAGAUACCCCAGUAGUCCCUGUCUCUUAUAA
rnacentral:rRNA from 1 species